GCCGGGGUGGCCGAGCCUGGUCCAAGGCGCGGGACUCGAGAUCCCGUCCCCGCAAAGGGGGCCCGGGUUCAAAUCCCGGCCCCGGCG
rnacentral:tRNA from 1 species